UACGUAGGGUCCGAGCGUUGUCCGGAAUUAUUGGGCGUAAAGGGCUCGUAGGCGGUUCGUCACGUCGGGAGCGAAAACUCGGGGCUUAACCCCGAGCCUGCUUCCGAUACGGGCAGACUAGAGGUAGGCAGGGGAGAGCGGAACUCCUGGUGUAGCGGUGGAAUGCGCAGAUAUCAGGAAGAACACCGGUGGCGAAGGCGGCUCUCUGGGCCUUACCUGACGCUGAGGAGCGAAAGCGUGGGUAGCGAACAGG
rnacentral:rRNA from 1 species